UCCUUGAUUAUAAUUCCCGCCUUCAUUUAUUAAUAGUACAAAGAUGGAAAAAUAAAAUCUGCCCAUUUCAUCCAUUCGCAUUGUAUUCUUAUUUGCCGAUUUGUAUGCAUGAUGCAGCAAACACUCUGCUUUGGCAGAACAAGAACCUCAAGAACGUCGACUUUGAUUUGGCCCCAAUUUCUUAAGAAUAAGACAUGAUAUGGCAAGUAUUAGGAAUAGCAAAGGGAAAGGACAGAAAUGGGUAACCAUUCCCAUC
rnacentral:misc_RNA from 1 species